AACGAACGCUGGCGGCAUGCCUAACACAUGCAAGUCGAACGAGACCUUCGGGUCUAGUGGCGCACGGGUGCGUAACGCGUGGGAACCUGCCCUUAGGUUCGGAAUAACUCCCCGAAAGGGGUGCUAAUACCGGAUAAUGUCUUCGGACCAAAGAUUUAUCGCCUUUGGAUGGGCCCGCGUUGGAUUAUCUAGUCGGUAGGGUAAAAGCCUACCAAGGCGACGAUCCAUAGCUGGUCUGAGAGGAUGAUCAGCCACACUGGGACUGAGACACGGCCCAGACUCCUACGGGAGGCAGCAGUAGGGAAUAUUGGACAAUGAGCGAAAACCUGAUCCAGCAAUGCCGCGUGAGUGAUGAAGGCCUUAGGGUUGUAAAGCUCUUUUACCCGGGAUGAUAAUGACAGUACCGGGAGAAUAAGCUCCGGCUAACUCCGUG
rnacentral:rRNA from 1 species